rnacentral:rRNA from 1 species
GACGAACGCUGGCGGCGUGCCUAAUACAUGCAAGUAGAACGCACAGUUUAUACCGUAGCUUGCUACACCAUAGACUGUGAGUUGCGAACGGGUGAGUAACGCGUAGGUAACCUGCCUGGUAGCGGGGGAUAACUAUUGGAAACGAUAGCUAAUACCGCAUAAUAUUAAUUAUUGCAUGAUAAUUAAUUGAAAGGUGCAAUUGCACCACUACCAGAUGGACCUGCGUUGUAUUAGCUAGUAGGUGAGGUAACGGCUCACCUAGGCGACGAUACAUAGCAGACCUGAGAGGGUGAUCGGCCACACUGGGACUGAGACACGGCCCAGACUCCUACGGGAGGCAGCAGUAGGGAAUCUUCGGCAAUAGACGAAAGUCUGACCGAGCAACGCCGCGUGAGUGAAGAAGGUUUUCGGAUCGUAAAGCUCUGUUGUAAGAGAAGAACGGGUGUGAGAGUGGAAAGUUCACACUGUGACGGUAACUUACCAGAAAGGGACGGCUAACUACGUG